GGGGAUUUAGCUCAGUGGUAGAGCGCUUGCCUUGCAAGCACAAGGCCCUGGGUUCCGUCCCCAGCUCCG
rfam:Rattus norvegicus chromosome 5, whole genome shotgun sequence.